rnacentral:rRNA from 1 species
AACGAACGCUGGCGGCAGGCCUAACACAUGCAAGUCGAGCGGACCCUUCGGGGUUAGCGGCGGACGGGUGAGUAACGCGUGGGAAUAUGCCCUUCUCUACGGAAUAGUCCUGGGAAACUGGGGGUAAUACCGUAUACGCCCUUUGGGGGAAAGAUUUAUCGGGGAAGGAUUAGCCCGCGUUGGAUUAGGUAGUUGGUGGGGUAAUGGCCUACCACGCCGACGAUCCAUAGCUGGUUUGAGAGGAUGAUCAGCCACACUGGGACUGAGACACGGCCCAGACUCCUACGGGAGGGAGCAGUGGGGAAUCUUAGACAAUGGGGGCAACCCUGAACGAGCCAUGCCGGGUGAGUGAUGAAGGCCUUAGGGUUGUAAAGCUCUUUCAGCUGGGAAGAUAAUGACGGUACCAGCAGAAGAAGCCCCGGCUAACUCCGUG